AGGUGGCUGCUGCAAGAAUCAGGAAUAGUCCAUGCUUAGAGGAGCUGCCUGUGAGAAACAUUGAGGAGCAUUGUACUCAGCCAUAUCACCACAUAUGGACACCUCAUCAAGAGAUUUAUCCCUUCAUAAAAUCUGAAUAGACAGGAUGGUUCCUCUCUGAAGAUGCUGCUCUUCUACACUGACUGCAAAGGGAGGGUAAAUGAACAUCUUAAAUUACACAACUAUGAAAUGCAAAAUUAAGGUCAGACUUCUGGCUGGGAAAGCUCACCCAGAACUCAAAAUCACCUUGGGAGGAUCUUGGUUCCAACUAAAGGUCUGUGAAGAUCAUACAAUUGCAAAAAACUAUUGUGUCUUUACUUACUGAAAGGAAAAUUCUGAGCAAAGAUCCUGUGUUCCUGACCUCAAGAAAAUGGGGCUGGGAGAAGGUGUGAACACUUUGAAGGAAGAAAAAAGCAAAGUAGAUUGAGACAGAAGAAAAGAAAGACAAAGAAGAAGAAGAAGAAGAAAGAAGGAAGAAGACGAAAAAGAACAUGAAGAAAAAGAAAUGUGAAAAAAGAGAUUUUAAAAAAUGAAAGAGGAUGAAAAUUAAGCAUAAACAAACUUUUAAUUUGACUCCAAGGAUGAAUUAAUUCAAUUUAUUCCACCUGAGUGUAGGAGACUUGGAUGGAAUGCCAGUUCCCAAAAAACAUGUCCACAUUUAAUGACUAUUGGGCAAAAUGGGGAUCCACAGUUUUGAAACCACCUAAAAAAUUAUAAAGUUAUUUUUAAAUUUUUUUCAUUAUUUUACUAAAUUAACCUUCCAUUUCCAUGUAUGCAAAUAAUGAGUAGUUCAUGUACACUAUUCAGAAAACACUCAGUAUUUUUUACUAGCAGAAAAAAAGACAUGAGAAUAUGAAUCCUAAGAGUCAAAAAUUACAAGACUGGAAGACAAAAUGAUAAGGCUGAAGAUCCUAAAAAAGGAGAUUAUUUAAAAAUUUUAGUACCUUGAAACUAGUCAGAUGUGUUCAUGUAUAAAUUUUUUUGCCUUUUUUGUCAUAUCCAACAAAUCUAAGAAAAUGAUUACUCACCACAUUUAGAAAUUAUCAUUAACUACACUGGGGACCAAAGAAGGAUGAAUUAUUCAAGAAGAAAAUGUAUAAAUAGAUGCUUGAAGAUAUUGGGUUUUCUCAUGUCUUUCUCUAAAAGUAGCAAUUCUCUUUUAUUUGUACUAUUCUUUCAAAUAAAAAAUUCAGUAGGAAAUGGAAAAAAAUAUACCUCAGAAUAAUCAGCGUAGACAAUAUAAUAGG